UACGAACCGUCCGAACGUUAUUCGGUAUCACUGGGCUUAAAGAGUUCGUAGGCGGCCCGACAGGUGAGGUGUGAAAUCCCUCGGCUCAACCGAGGAAUUGCGCUUCAAACCGUCAGGCUUGAGGGAGAUAGAGGUGAGCGGAACAGGUGGUGGAGCGGUGAAAUGCGUUGAUAUCAUCAGGAACACCGGUGGCGAAAGCGGCUCACUGGGUCUCUUCUGACGCUGAGGCACGAAAGCUAGGGGAGCGAACGGG
rnacentral:misc_RNA from 1 species